AAUUGAAAGACUGAAUGAAACACUUCAGGAGUGGCAGAAGCUGCAUGGCACUAAACUCUACCCCAGUGUCAAUGGCGGGAAGACGCUGAUCAGUUACUCCUACUAUCCCCAGUUCUGGAUAAGCCCUUCAUUGAGACCAGCAUUUGAGAAAGCACUUGAACGUCUCUUGCAAAGAUCACAGCCCCUAGAGAAUACUGACCAGACGGUAUUGGUUGUCGGUGGUGUUCAGUGGCUUAAUUCCAAUCACCUGCAAAUUAUUCACAAGGUUUUAAAGAGGGAAAAUUUGCAGAAUAUCCUAGUGAUCAUCAAAACUUUGGGGAUUGG
rnacentral:lncRNA from 1 species